GGGGAAUAUUGCACAAUGGGGGAAACCCUGAUGCAGCAACGCCGCGUGAGGGAUGACGGCCUUCGGGUUGUAAACCUCUUUUGGCAGGGAAGAAGCGAGAGUGACGGUACCUGCAGAAAAAGCGCCGGCUAACUACGUGCCAGCAGCCGCGGUAAUACGUAGGGCGCGAGCGUUGUCCGGAAUCAUUGGGCGUAAAGAGCUCGUAGGCGGUUUGUCGCGUCUGCUGUGAAAGCCUGGGGCUCAACUCCGGGAUUGCAGUGGGUACGGGCAGACUAGAGUGCGGUAGGGGAGACUGGAAUUCCUGGUGUAGCGGUGGAAUGCGCAGAUAUCAGGAAGAACACCGAUGGCGAAGGCAGGUCUCUGGGCCGUUACUGACGCUGAGGAGCGAAAGCAUGGGGAGCGAACA
rnacentral:rRNA from 1 species